UCGGAGGACGGCACGCAGGGGGAGGAGCCCUGCACUUCGCCAGGAAGUACCUGCCCAGGGUGGGUUAAAGAAUAGAACCAUGUUGGUUGAAAGUCACAUUAAAGCCAGUGCCUGCAGGCCGGCUUGCAGGAGACCUGGAGUCACUCUUUCCUCCUUUGGGGUACAUUGAGUCCUGCCCAAUUCCAAUUCAGGGGUGUUAACCAUGGGGAACACCACCAGAUGUCUGCCACCCCCUCAGGAAGUCAGCGUCUGCACCUUUGCAUACCCCGUGGACGAUCUGUAGUUUAGGGGCAGCUUCCAACCCCUUGCUGGUGUCUAGGGAAUGACUGGGGGACAACAAGCGUUAAGCAGAGGAGGAAAUGCUUCAAUAACUGAUACUCUGCAAAUGAACCCGGCACACCAGCUGCUUCUGCUCCUGCCUGCUAGUCACCAGGACUGGGCGGGGGCUGGCCUUGGCCCUCCCUUUGUGUCUGUAUGCUCUGCUCAUGUUGUAUAUUUCACUUUUGCAACCUGUGUUUUGUUGUUGUUUUGUUUUAAUUUCCUGUAACACUUCUCUGAAAUUCACAUCUAUGUCACUGAGUUUCAAAUCAUAACUAUUAAGGAACACUUGCCAUAAGUAGAUGCCAUAUUUAAACAAAGAAAGUCAGUUCAAUGCCUUGUGCAAUUGGGACUUAGAAAUACAUCAAUAACAAAGGACAUCUACAUUAACUGUCAUGCCUAUAUUGUAUCUGUAAGUGUAACUAGCAAUAUUCAUGGCAAAAAUGCCAUCAAGGUACUCUUUUUUCUUUCUUCUUUCCUCUCCAUAAAACUAAUUCUUGAAUAUAUGCUAUAUUAUCAGGAACUAUUCCAGAUCAAGAACUGUUCCAAAUAUCUUAUUCCCAAGUUUUUAUCUUAUAGUGCAGAGUAUUCAUAAUAAAUCAACAGAAGUAGAGAAGUAUAAACAACUUAUAUUUAUUUUUCAAAUGUUCCUCUAUCAUACUAUAUUACCUCCAUUAGACUAUAUCAUUAUUUCUUCAUUAGAUGUUUAAGCAGUAUAAAUUUAAAUGUGUACAUUUUAGAAAAAAUAAUUUACAGUUAUAUAUACUAACUCGAAGAUUAAUGCCAUUGAGUUAUCUCCAUAAAUCAAUGAAACUCUAGAUAUAAUGCAAAAGCUAAGGUAGGGCUUCUUUGAAAUAAAGUACU